AAGCUGAAGAGUUUGAUCCUGGCUCAGAUUGAACGCUGGCGGCAUGCCUUACACAUGCAAGUCGAACGGCAGCACGGAGCUUGCUCUGGUGGCGAGUGGCGAACGGGUGAGUAAUAUAUCGGAACGUACC
rnacentral:rRNA from 1 species